rnacentral:rRNA from 1 species
UACGGGGGGGGCAAGCGUUGUUCGGAAUUACUGGGCGUAAAGGGCUCGUAGGCGGCCAACUAAGUCAGACGUGAAAUCCCUCGGCUUAACCGGGGAACUGCGUCUGAUACUGGAUGGCUUGAGAUUGGGAGAGGGAUGCGGAAUUCCCAGUGUAGUGGUGAAAUACGUAGAGAUUGGGAAGAACACCAGUGGCGAAGGCGGCUAUCUGGACGGUUUCUGACGCUAAGACGCGAAAGCGUGGGGAGCAAACAGG